GACCUGGUAGUACAACUGGUAGUGCAUCUCUUGCAUGUUUUCAAGUAUGCUUGUAGUAUGUUCAGAAGAUCCCUGUUCGAAUCAGGGUCAGGUCA